UACAAAUGCUGGAAAGAGCACACUUUUAAAUCAGUUGACUGGAGCUGAUGUUCUUGCUGAAGAUCGUUUAUUUGCGACCCUUGAUCCAACCACAAGAAGGGUUCAGAUGAAGAAUGGGAAUGAGUUUCUUCUCACAGAUACUGUUGGUUUCAUCCAGAAGUUGCCAACUACACUGGUUGCUGCCUUCAGAGCAACAUUGGAGGAGAUAUCAGAAUCAUCGCUUUUGGUUCAUGUGGUAGACAUCAGUCAUCCACUAGCAGAGCAACAGAUAGAUGCAGUGGACAGAGUUCU
rnacentral:misc_RNA from 1 species